rnacentral:rRNA from 1 species
UACAGAGGUCCCAAGCGUUGUUCGGAUUCAUUGGGCGUAAAGGGUGCGUAGGCGGCGCGGUAAGUCGGGUGUGAAAUCUCGGGGCUCAACCCCGAAACUGCACUUGAUACUGCCUUGCUCGAGUACUGGAGAGGAGAUUGGAAUUUACGGUGUAGCAGUGAAAUGCGUAGAUAUCGUAAGGAAGACCAGUGGCGAAGGCGAAUCUCUGGACAGUUACUGACACUGAGGCACGAAGGCCAGGGGAGCAAACGGG